UAAAGGUGCAUGAGUGGUGUUUGGUUUGAUACGGGUGGUUGGCUCCCUGCUUGAGCAGGCACGGCCACGCGUGCAUUCCUUUUCAGCUGUGCGGCAAGGCUUGUAUUGUCUUGAUCGUAUAAGUGGGUUUUCUGUGUUGCAUACCUGAUCAAUGGCAUCGUUUUGAUCAAAAGCGUACCUUUUUCGUCUAGUGUUGCACCCGCAUCAUUGGAUGAACUGAGCAGCAUCCUCUUUGAUCCAUACAAUUGAUGUUCAUUCGUUGAUUGUUUGGCCCGUUGAGGGUGGCUUGGUCUCUUGAAUAUGGAAGCCAAAGUGGGCAUAGGAUCGCAAGAUCCCUUUAGUGCCCUUAUUGAGCGUUCUCGCUUCUCUUACACGACCGCCUUUCACGUAUGGCACGUCUCAGCGUGUUUGGCUAUGUCGA
rnacentral:misc_RNA from 1 species